rnacentral:tRNA from 1 species
AAUUAAUGAACUUGUAUAAGUAUAUAUUUUGAAAAUAUAAAAAAGGAAUACUACUUCCUAUUAAUUU